rnacentral:rRNA from 1 species
AUGUUCAUCCACAAGCGAACAAUACCAAAACAAAAUCACUACGUAUUUGGUAGCACAACACGGUUACUGAUACAGAGGAUGAGUAAUAGACCUUGGACAAUGGCUCUCUCAGAUGGUGUAGUCGGACCACUGCCGUAUGAAGGAGGUGUGAUCCAUGGACUCUCCGGGCAUGUCCUCGUCCUUGUCGGACUCGCCCUUCCUCCCUCCGAUGAGCCUGGCAGGGUUCCCCACCGCCGUGCUCCGCGCCGGCACAUCUAUCAGCACCACGGAGCCAGCCCCAAUCUUGGCCCCGGCUCCAAUCAUGACGUUGCCGAGGAUUGUGGCGCCGGCACCUAUGAGCACGCCGUCCCCAAUCUUGGGGUGGCGGUCGCCGACCGCCUUGCCAGUCCCACCCAGGGUGACGUGGUGGAGGAUGGAGACGUUGUCACCGACGACGGCGGUCUCCCCGAUGACGACGCCGGUGGCGUGGUCGAGGAGGAUGGCCUUGCCGACGACGGCGGCGGGGUGGAUGUCGACGGCGAAGACGUCGGCGACGCGGGACUGGAGGGCGAGCGCGAGCGGGCGGCGGUUCUGCGCCCAGAGCACGUGCGCGACGCGGUGCGCCUGGAUGGCGAGGAAGCCCUUGUAGUUGAGGAGGCAGUGGGAGAAUCCGACGCAGGCGGGGUCGCGGGCGCGCGCGGCGAGGAGGUCGGCGACGACGGCGGCGCGGAGGGAGGGGUGCGCGGUGAGGGAGGCGAGGAAGAGGUCGUAGAGGAGCGUGGAGAGGAGGGUGGAGGAGCAGAGCUUGUUGGCGAGGUGGAAGGAGAGGGAGCGGGGCAGGGAGGGGUGGGAGAGCACCGUGGCGUAGAGGAAGGAGGCGAGCGCCGGCUCGGCGUCGGCGUCGCGCCGGGCCUCCGCCUUGAUCUGCGUCCACACCCAGGACUCGUCGUCCUCCGACUCCGGCGGCGGGUAGGCCGGCACCACCUCGGACGGGAGCGCGGGCGUGGGGGGCGGCGGGUGGGGGUGGUGGUUGGAGUCGCCGCCGUCGGGCUCGCGCGCCGGUGGCUGCUGGCCCGCCGGCAUCGCCGCCGGAGCUGCGAGGGAUGGAUGGAUUGCUGCUGGUGGGUGGGUGUGUGGGUGAGGAGGAAUUGCGGGCCGCCUGCGGAUCAGAUUGCGGGGGCAGAAAAGGCCGAGGCCCAACGGAGCGCACGAGACGGGCAAGUGGGGCCCCGAAAAAAUAGGAACGGGUCUGGUCAGGUGGAGUAG